rnacentral:rRNA from 1 species
UUGAACGCUGGCGGCGUGCUUAACACAUGCAAGUCGAGCGGUAACAGGUGUAGCAAUACAUGCUGACGAGCGGCGAACGGGUGAGUAAUGCUUCGGAAUCUGCCCAGUAGUGGGGAAUAACCUGGGGAAACUCAGGCUAAUACCGCAUACGAACUACGGUUGAAAGCAGGGGAUCGCAAGACCUUGCGCUAUUGGAUGAGCCGAAGUCGGAUUAGCUAGUUGGUGAGGUAAAGGCUCACCAAGGCGACGAUCCGUAGCUGGUCUGAGAGGACGACCAGCCACACUGGAACUGAGACACGGUCCAGACUCCUACGGGAGGCAGCAGUGGGGAAUAUUGGACAAUGGGGGCAACCCUGAUCCAGCGACGCCGCGUGUGUGAAGAAGGCCUGCGGGUUGUAAAGCACUUUUAGUGGGGACAAAAAGCUACGGGUUAAUACCUCGUGGUCUUGAUUUAACCCAAAGAAAAAGCACCGGCUAACUCUGUGCCAGCAGCCGCAGUAAAAC